rnacentral:rRNA from 1 species
AUUGAACGCUGGCGGCAUGCCUUACACAUGCAAGUCGAACGGUAACAGGUCUUCGGAUGCUGACGAGUGGCGAACGGGUGAGUAAUACAUCGGAACGUGCCCAAUCGUGGGGGAUAACGCAGCGAAAGCUGUGCUAAUACCGCAUAAGAUCUACGGAUGAAAGCGGGGGAUCGCAAGACCUCGCGCGAAUGGAGCGGCCGAUGGCAGAUUAGGUAGUUGGUGGGGUAAAGGCUCACCAAGCCGACGAUGCGUAGCUGGUCUGAGAGGACGACCAGCCACAGUGGGACUGAGACACGGCCCAGACGCCUACGGGAGGCAGGAGUGGGGAAUGUUGGACAAUGGGCGAAAGCCUGAUCCAGCCAUGCCGCGUGCAGGAUGAAGGCCUUCGGGUUGUAAACUGCUUUUGUACGGAACGAAAAGGUUUGGCCUAAUAAGCUGAGCUCAUGACGGUACCGUAAGAAUAAGCACCGGCUAACUACGUGCCAGCCGCCGCCGUAA